rnacentral:lncRNA from 1 species
CUCAGUUUCAUCUCAACUGCCUUGCAAUGGAGAGAAACUGCAAAUUUGUUCUUGGAACAGCAGCAUGGCAUGAGACCUACGUGUGACAACUCUGAAGAAAAAUAUUUUGGAAGUGCCAUAUAGGAUCGAUCAGGUUAGGAAGGACUCCACAUCAGUUUAGGACAAGGCGGCUUCACCAGAGCCUCUGGAAAGGCCACUCUCAGAUGCUGAGGCUGAAAAUCUCUUGCUUCUGUGUUAAGAA